GCCGAAAUAGCUCAGUUGGGAGAGCGUUAGACUGAAGAUCUAAAGGUCCCUGUUUCAACCUGGGUUUCGGCA
rnacentral:tRNA from 1 species